UCGGUUCGUCUGCUUCACGGAGGCAUUCUUCUUCCAAGCGGGAUCUCAGGCAAGAUGAUCAUUUCCCCAGAUACCAUUAGUAUCAUUUCCAUGCUAGUUAUCGCUUCUAUCGUUUAUGUCUCGAUGCCUACCACAUGUUAAAUAUCAGCCUCUCAACAAUGCCAUGAAACCUUUAACCUGUUCAACCUAGCAAAACCACUGAUUGGCCAUGUUACUGCUUGCUUAACCCUGUUGUUAGCGUUGCUAGUUGCAGGUGUAGAUGCUUCCAUGUGAUAACAUGGGUUCCUUGUUAUAUCACCAUAUUAAAUGCUAUCUAAUUUAAUGCACCUUAUAUACUUGGUAAAAGGUGGAAGACUCGGCAUUUCUAGCCUGGUGUUUUGUUCCACCUUUGCCCCCUUAGUUUCGGCUACUGGUGUUAUGUUCCAUAAUCGAGCGCUCCUAACACGAUCGGGGUUGUUAUGGGGACCCCCUUGAUAAUUCGUUUUAGAUUAAAGCUGGUCUGGCAAGGCCCAACUUUGGUUCUACAUUUGCCCAACAUAAUAAUUCUGUUAAAUUGAAAUGCAUAGGGAGUUAGCGCUACCCGAGGAGUAAUUUUACAUAAACAGGGGGGGCCAGUGCCGAUGGUGUUGGUCCCAAACGGUCUGCCUGNNNNNNNNNNNNNNNNNNNNNNNNNNNNNNNNNNNNNNNNNNNNNNNNNNNNNNNNNNNNNNNNNNNNNNNNNNNNNNNNNNNNNNNNNNNNNNNNNNNNGAAUCUCGUGUAGUUUCUUUUUCUCUUGUUGUUUGUAUGUGUUGAAGUGCUCGUAGCCGCUGUUGCACACAUAUCGCAUUCAUGCCAUCAUAUCUUGCGGUGCUUGUAACUUUUGUUCCGUAGCUCCGUUGGAGAUGUUCUUUACGUGUAGGUUGCUUGCCUUGACGCGUAGAAUCACAUGAACCUAUUUGUUUUGCUGUUUAACAACCAAUUAAAUGCAUUAGUUCGGAUCUGGACAGAAUUGUAAAUUAACAUGUGAGGUCGUCUCGGAGAUGCUAUAUGUCAUUUCCGACCUCAUUUAAAAUGCCUAGAUAGGUAGUUUAAUUUCCGCUUCACCUCUUGCAUGUUUAACCACAUUUAAUAUUGCCGCGUAAAUAACCGGGAGUGAACUAAAUAAUUACCGUGGAGUUUCGUCAAUAUGCAACUCGUGCAUAUUGAACUUCACUUAAGGUGUAGUGUUUGAUUGUGUGAUUUGUCAUGCCGUGACUUGCAUGUAUUCCGUAGCUCAUGCAUCAUAUGUGUUGUGCAUCGUGUGCUGAAUAUCGUGUGUUGAUGCUUGUCUCCGGUUUCCCCGUCUCGAUAGAGUUCCGCAUCGUGCCGGAUUGUGAGGACCCGUUCGACUACGUCGGUUCGUCUGCUUCACGGAGGCAUUCUUCUUCCAAGCGGGAUCUCAGGCAAGAUGAUCAUUUCCCCAGAUACCAUUACUAUCAUUGCCAUGCUAGUUAUCGCUUCUAUCGUUUAUGUCUCGAUGCCUACCACAUGUUAAAUAUUAGCCUCUCAACAAUGCCAUGAAACCUUUAACCUGUUCAACCUAGCAAAACCACUGAUUGGCCAUGUUACUGCUUGCUUAACCCUGUUGUUAGCGUUGCUAGUUGCAGGUGUAGAUGCUUCCAUGUGAUAACAUGGGUUCCUUGUUAUAUCACCAUAUUAAAUGCUAUCUAAUUUAAUGCACCUUAUAUACUUGGUAAAAGGUGGAAGGCUCGGCCUUUCUAGCCUGGUGUUUUGUUCCACCUUUGCCCCCUUAGUUUCGGCUACCGGUGUUAUGUUCCAUAAUCGAGCGCUCCUAACACGAUCGGGGUUGUUAUGGGGACCCCCUUGAUAAUUCGUUUUAGAUUAAAGCUGGUCUGGCAAGGCCCAACUUUGGUUCUACAUUUUCCCAACAUAAUAAUUCUGUUAAAUUGAAAUGCAUAGGGAGUUAGCGCUACCCGAGGAGUAAUUUUACAUAAACAGGGGGGGCAGUGCUGAUGGUGUUGGUCCCAAACGGUCUGCCUGCGGGGCCACGGCGAGGAAACUCGAGGUUUGGCACCUGUAGCUAGUUCCAUCCGUCGUGUCCUGAGAACGAGAUACGCGGCUCCUAUCGGGUACGUCGACACGUCGGGCGGCCUUGCUGGAUUAGUUUUACCUUUGACGAGAUAUCUUGUGCAUCGGGAUUCCGGUGAUGCUUUGGGUAAUCUCAGAGUUGAGGUUUUCCACUAGGGAAUCCGACGAGAUCGCGAGCUUCGUGAUUGAGGGUUUCUAUGCGGCUUGUGGUAAUUUGUGAUGGACUAGUUGGAGCACCCCUGCAGGGUCAAAUCUUUCGGAAAGUCGUGCCCGCGGUUAUGUGGCAACGUGGAUACUUUGUUUAACACUGGUUCUAUAUAACUCAAAGUUAAUUAAUUAAAACAUGUCUACUGUGUGCGUAACCGUGACUGUCUCUUUCGUGAGUUCUUUCUCCGAUCGAGGACACAGAGGGGUUAUGACUGACAUAGGUAGGUGUUCAGGAUCAUUCUUUUGGUCAUCUGUAGUUCACGCCCGCUAUGCGUAGUUCUUCCCCCUCUUUCUUCUGGUACACGUAAGUUAGCCACCUCAUAUAUGCUUAGCCGCUGCUGCAACCUCACCACUUAACCAUGCCUCACCCAUUAAGCUUUGCUAGUCUUGAUACCUUUGGAAAUGAGAUUGCUGAGUCCCCUGUGGCUCACAGAUUACUACAACAUCAGUUGCAGGUACAGGUAAAGGUUACAUGACGCGAGCGCGUUGAUUGUUCAUUUGGAGUUGCCACUUCUUCUUCUUCUUCAUCGAUCUAGGAUGGGUUCCAGGCCGGCAGCCUGGGAUAGCAAGGAUGGACGUCGUUCUUCUUUUGUCGUUUGUUUUCGUCCGUAGUCGGACCCUGCUCUUAUUCUUGAUGAU
rnacentral:lncRNA from 1 species